AAAAACUCCGGUGGUAUGAGAUGGACCCGCGUCUGAUUAGCUAGUUGGUGAGGUAACGGCCCACCAAGGCGACGAUCAGUAGCCGGCCUGAGAGGGCGACCGGCCACAUUGGGACUGAGACACGGCCCAAACUCCUACGGGAGGCAGCAGUGGGGAAUAUUGCACAAUGGGGGAAACCCUGAUGCAGCGACGCCGCGUGAGUGAAGAAGUAUUUCGGUAUGUAAAGCUCUAUCAGCAGGGAAGAAGAAAGACGGUACCUGACUAAGAAGCCCCGGCUAACUACGUGCCAGCAGCCGCGGUAAUACGUAGGGGGCAAGCGUUAUCCGGAUUUACUGGGUGUAAAGGGAGCGUAGACGGCUGUGCAAGUCUGAAGUGAAAGCCCAGGGCUCAACCCUGGGACUGCUUUGGAAACUGUGGAGCUAGAGUGCUGGAGAGGUAAGUGGAAUUCCUAGUGUAGCGGUGAAAUGCGUAGAUAUUAGGAGGAACACCAGUGGCGAAGGCGGCUUACUGGACAGUAACUGACGUUGAGGCUCGAAAGCGUGGGGAGCAAACAGGAUUAGAUACCCUGGUAGUCCACGCGGUAAACGAUGA
rnacentral:rRNA from 1 species